rnacentral:lncRNA from 1 species
AUUCAAAUCCCUUUCAUCAGAAAGUUGAGCUGCAAAUCUUGUGAGAACAGUCUCUCUCAAGAAUGUUCCUCAAUCCAGCCUGAAAAUGAUUCAAAAAAUGGCUUUAUUUUUUGUUAUUUCACAAAUUUCAGUUCUCUUCCUGUGUCAGAACUUAAUAUUGCAGACCGAAGGUGGAAAUGAUAAAAGUUCAGAGAUUUUAUGAAGAACAGAAGCAAUAUUCUUAAAUGAUGUAAUAUGGUACAAGAGGCAGAGGAUGCGUUUCUAAGGCUAUAGUUCAAAACUACUGCUGAAUCUGCAUGCACUGGAGGAAUCAACUCUUCAACUUGAUGGAGGUCAUCCCUGUUCCAGCUGGGUCUUGCAACAUGUGAACCUAAGACCAAAUCUAAGAAGGUGAAGUAAAGCUGCAAGGUCUCCUCAUUGCAGACCACUAGACACGUUUCUCCUCAAGCAAAUGGACAAAGAAGAUGGUAGAUGAAAGGAGCCUCAACUCCAUUCUGAAACACACUGGCUAGCAAAGCUGAGUCAAUUACUAGGAGUGUUGUAAUAUUCAGUUGGUGCUAUUCAGAACAGGAAUGAAACUUCAAGAUUAAGGCAAAAGAAGCACAUGGACCACCACUAGUACAAUGUAUGCAAUACCCAGAGUCAAAGACUACACCUCAAGCCAUGAGGGAACUGCUGAGCACUGAGUUUACGUCAUUGAGCUGUCCUAAAUGACAGUAGAUCUGUUUAUAGUGACAAAAGUUUUAGCAAUUAAUUUUGACUUAUCUCUUUGUUCCAUUUAAUUUAUUUCUAUUUUAUGUCUGAAUUCUAUUUUUACAGGAAACUGAACAUGAACCUUUCUUAAAAGCAGGUGGUUUCUUGAAUAGGCCUUCUCAUUUUUAAGUAUUGGGAAAGAAAUAAGACUUCCGUGGUCUCCAGACAAAUGAGACUUAGAGGUUGUAAGUCUUUGACUUUCAAGCUGACCUUUCGUUACUGCUGAGUUGCUGUCAGCCAUGCAAGGCUUGACAGAGCCAAAGCAGGAUUAGAUUUCAGAGACUUUAACCGCCAUACUCAGUGGACCAAACUCUUUAGUGCUUGACCUGAAGAGUAAUUCUAGCUUGCCACAACAUAUGGCUAUACGUAGGUCCUAAAAUCAAGUUCAUUAAAACAUUUAAAUAAACAUGACAGAAAGGAGGAAAAAGUGGAAAUAAAUGAGCAGCUGCUAACAGAAGCUGGAUUUGGCAGCUAUGUCCACUUCAAAAAGUGAUUACAUGGAUGUUUCCAUCUUUUAAAAGGGUCUUUAGUAUAAAACAGUCAAACACCAAAAGAACAAAUUAAAGAGAAGGAAAUUAAUUAAAAAUUGGAAAACUUUAAUGACUUUUGAUGUGAUUAAAGUGGACAUGUUUUGUAGAGAUUUCACCUGUUCUUUAAUUUCCUAUUCUAUCUGGCUGUGAUCUGUCCCUGCAUUGUUCUGCAGUGCAAGAUCUCGAAUCCAAGCAUGCUGUGCAACUCUCCUUUGAAAAAGACUGAAAUUAUAUGUAAUUAAUGCAACUGAUGUUUAACAUGUUUGAAGGGUCAGGAAGAAGAAAUCAGAACUCUUUCGUCUAUAAAGUCCAGGAAAUGAGACUUCAUCCACCAGCUGCAGGUGUGAUUUCAGCCCUUCAUGUUCUCAUUCUCCAGUCCUUACUGAAGCAAGCUAUCUCUUCCAAAACAGUUUAAGGUAAUAGCUGAAUAAAGCAUAACCUUCCCAGGAAAUUUCAGGACUUUAUUAUCUGCUCAUAGACAAAAGCCAGAAAUACAAAGACAGAUAAUGAUAGUAAUAAUAAUAAUAAUAAUAAUAAACCAGCAGGCAAAGAAUAAAAACAAAUCUCUUUUUUAUUAAAGCCUCUCAGGGAAGGAGAUAGACCCAAGUGAAAAUCUGAAUUUUCCCCUAAUCGCUAAGAAAUUUUUGUAUAGCUCAGGAAGAUUUCAUGUGUAAGAAAUGAAGUCUAGGUUUCAAAUCUAAAUUCCUUAUUUUGGACGUGCAUCUAGUUGGAAGUUUACACUUGGUUGUUCCUUGGAUUAAAAUAUAGUUCAGUUAUAUUGAGAGUAUUCUGUCCUUUCCUGAUUUGUUGUGGUUUAACCUAGCAGAUAGGUAAACACCACACAGACAUUUACUUCCUCCCUUUCCGUGGGAGAAUAUUGAAAAGCACAAGAACUCAUGCAUUCGGUUAAGGAUAGUUUAAUAAGAAAGAGGUAAGAAAAUGAGAUAGU